rfam:Hordeum vulgare subsp. vulgare, WGS project CAJW01000000 data, contig: morex_contig_131198
UUAUUACUCCCUCCGUCCCAAAAUUCUUGUCUUAGAUUUAUCUACAUAUGAAGGUAUCUAGUCACAUUUUAGUAUUUAGAUACCUCCAUUUCUAGACAAACCUAAGACAAGAUUUUUGGGAUGGAGGGAGUAUGUA